CCCCCAUACCCACAAAGCUCCCAGGUCAGCAGACCCAAGAGAGGAGGAGGCAGGGUUGUGGUGCCUGUGAGGAUGGCCAGUCGCUGGGCCAGGGUCUUGGUGUCAGGGAACAGGAUAAAGUUGUAGAUCAGUGAAGCCAGGACAGCUCCUGUCAGGGGUCCCACCCAGAAGACCUGAGGAGAAGAAAGUAGACACGCACUCAUGAGCUGUCAGGGUGGCUUUGUGGCCUCUGCCUGCUUCCCUAGAGCUGACAUGGUCUCCCAAGUCUUCCUCAACUGUCUACAAGGUGGUAAAUUUGAGAACCACGAGUCCUGCCUCCAGAGCACACAAGCUGUAAGGUGGGUGACACCUCACCACUGCUCAGCUCCAGGACUUGAGGAGAUCUGUUCAGUGGAGCUCACAUCAGCCUUGGAUACUUGCUCCCUGCAGAAGUGAGUAGCUCCCCUCACACCCCACCAAUUGGUUGGUUAGGACCAGUGGUUCAGGAUGUGGAGGCAGGAGCCCAGGACUGAUGGGGAAGGCUUGAGAAGCUGGAGAUGCUUGUUUGAGAGGAGACUGAUGGUAGGAGUAGAAAGAGAUUUGGGGAAGUAGGUGGAAUGUAGAUGGUUAGUAGAAUGGGGUGGGGGAGUAGGCAGACCUCGAGGUGCUGGGGAGGGAGGAACUUGGGGAAAACGGAGGAGCAGAGGACAGGGGGUAGAGCUUGGAGAGGAAAAUGAAGUGCUUGCAGGAUCCCCUUCCUCUACCUACAGCCCCAGCCCUCCCUUCACUACAUCUGCCCUUUAAAUACCUGGUCCUUCUCUGACUCCUUCUCCUUUUUCCUUCAACAUCUGUUCCUCACGCCACAAUCCCAUUCUAUUCUUCCUAGACUAAGGCCAAAGUCUGAUUCCUCUGGGACCCAGUACCCAGCCCAGAGUAGAUGCAGAGCAUGUGGCUGAACUGUUUCUUCCUCUGUUCUGUCUCCUCAGGUCUAGCCCUCCACCCCUCCCAUCUAUGUGGACUCCCUCCUCCUCUCCCUGCUUUGUACCCCUCCCUGC